UUGCAGGACGACCCCUAAGAUGAAGAAUAUUAGAUUUAUGAUCAAGAUAGCGAUGGCGACUUCUCCAAUGAUGAGGAUUAGUGAAUUAUCGAACGAGAUGGGGCUUCUUAUGGGCUUUGCUCAUCUCAGAAAUGACGGCAGUCGGCGGGUUAGGGCUCACCGAGAUGGAGCGAAACCACCCUACUUCUUUCGGGUUAGGCUGAAGUUGAGAGGUGUGCUGAUUUUUGGUAGAUAUAGCAGUUUUAGAGCAAGUAGGAAAAACUUUAUUUAUCUUCUAAUGUAAAUGAGGUUGUUUCAGUGAUUUGUGCCUUGCUGUCGACUUAUAUAUUAUUCGACAGGCUCUUUCAUGAGACAUUAGAGUAAAUGGGUGAGGAAUACCAUUUUUGGUGAUUGGUAAAAGGUAAAUCAUGCUUAGAGGUUCCUGUACUUAUGAUUUAAUGUUUCAAUUACAAUUUUUUUUUUUUCAUUUUU